UACGGAGGGUGCAAACGUUGCUCGGAAUCAUUGGGCGUAAAGCGCACGUAGGUGGUUUGUUAAGUCGGAUGUGAAAGCCCCGGGCUCAACUCGGGAAGUGCAUUCGAAACUGGCAGGCUUGAGUAUGGAAGAGGGUCGCGGAAUUCCCGGUGUAGAGGUGAAAUUCGUAGAUAUCGGGAGGAACACCAGUGGCGAAGGCGGCGACCUGGGCCAAUACUGACACUGAGGUGCGAAAGCGUGGGGAGCAAACAGG
rnacentral:rRNA from 1 species